ensembl:lncRNA
CAGAAAUGCUAUCAAAGAAGAUGGCACUAAUUUAUUUAAAAGAAAGGAAGAAAAAAGAAAGCAGAGGAAGAAAAUGGUUUCGGAUAUGCCUAUUAUGUCCUGCUGGACCAGGAAGAGACAUGAAAUCCUGGAAAGAUGUUCUAAGGCACUCACAAAAAAUAGAAAAUAUUUGUGUUAAAGAUAUCCUUUCAACUCAACUCUGCCCUGGAAUGAGGUUUUAAGAAAAAAAUAUCCGCGCUUCUAAGCUGCUUGGAUUUUUAAAACCAUGAUGUGGAGACAAUGUGAGGGGUUGACCCAAAGCAUAUCCUUCAAUAACACUCUGCAACCUAAGUCCCUUUCAGAGUCCUGGGGGACCCUGGCUCGGACAGUUGUGCCAGUCUUGAUCCAAGAAAGCAGGUAUUCAGAUGGAGCUUGGAACUGAAUGAAAUGUGUUAACAGUUUGGAAUGAAGACCUUUUAUGAGGCAUUCUCCUUUUGUUUAAAGAUGAGAACAUUAGAACACUGACAUUUUAAUCUGUUCUGUACAAGAGUGAGUUGUGUCAACAUGGUGCUCCCAGCUACAACACAGAAAAAAACCCAAGUUUAAUUAAAGACAGAGAAGAAACCGG